UUUGCAUGUUCCUACAUUAAACAUUAGUUUAUGUACUACAUCUACCAAUGUACAUGCCUACCUCUUGUCAUUUGUUUUUCUUGGCACUCAACCUUACAAAAGGCAAUGUCUUCGGGGAGAUUCAGACAGAGAGAUUCAGCUUCCCCAUGAAAUAAUAGCAACUGGUGAUUCUGCAUAUUUGAUGCUUUCACUGGUAUGCAGAUGGUUUAGGGAUGUGGUCACAAAUGAAAUUUUCCAGAAAGCAGCACACUUUGCCUGGCUGAACAGUGUGGUCAACUGGAAAAAAAUUUCUCCGGACUACUGUGAUGAGUUCCGCCGGAUCUACAGCUUCAGGGAAUGCUCAGAAUGCUUGGAGCUUUUCAAGUCCUAUCCACCAGGGUACAGGGGAAGAGGAAAACGAGGGGAACUGCUGGGCUUUUACUCUGAAGAUCUUUGUACAGGAUUUUGCUCGCAGGACUGUUUUUUUGCUGCAGGAAAUGAAUUUCUGUAAAACUCAAAACUUGUAGAUGGGAAUUGAGAGAUGAACUGGUUUUGAUGUAGUAAUUGAUGCAACUAAAAGUUAAACUUAAAGGUCAAACUUGAAAAAUUAGAAUAUUGUGCAAAAGUUCAUGUUCAGUAAUUUAAAAAAUUAAAAGGUGAAACUUAAUAUAUUUAGUAUAAAUAACUAUACAUGCAUAUGGCAUGAUUAUAUAUACUUUUCAGUUAUAUAUACUUUUCAGAGGGCUUGCAUUUUAGUGUUCAUCAAAAUUAUAACUUUUGCACGAUAUAAAUUUUUUUCGAGUUUCACCUGUAUAGUGUUCUAUUGAAAAGCUAUGGCAAAAACAUAGGUUUCACUAAUUGUGAAUAUGGUAAAGUACCUUGGUUCUUUAAGGUUUGCAUAAAUUACAUUCUGCUGAUGUAUAAGUGCAGUUUGGAGUCUAUAAUAAAGAAAAAGUGACAAA